GACGAACGCUGGCGGCGUGCUUAACACAUGCAAGUCGAACGGAAAGGCCCUGCUUUUGUGGGGUGCUCGAGUGGCGAACGGGUGAGUAACACGUGAGUAACCUGCCCUUGACUUUGGGAUAACUUCAGGAAACUGGGGCUAAUACCGGAUAGGAGCUCCUGCUGCAUGGUGGGGGUUGGAAAGUUUCGGCGGUUGGGGAUGGACUCGCGGCUUAUCAGCUUGUUGGUGGGGCAGUGGCUUACCAAGGCUUUGACGGGUAGCCGGCCUGAGAGGGUGACCGGCCACAUUGGGACUGAGAUACGGCCCAGACUCCUACGGGAGGCAACAGUGGGGAAUAUUGCACAAUGGGCGGAAGCCUGAUGCAGCAACGCCGCGUGCGGGAUGACGGCCUUCGGGUUGUAAACCGCUUUCGCCUGUGACGAAGCGUGAGUGACGGUAAUGGGUAAAGAAGCACCGGCUAACUACGU
rnacentral:rRNA from 1 species